rnacentral:misc_RNA from 1 species
AAGUCGUAACAAGGUUUCCGUAGGUGAACCUGCGGAAGGAUCAUUAACACGUAUCCAAACGUUAAACAACCCCGUGAACAUACAACCUGCUCUGGUCGCCCGCUCGCAUGGACAAGCCCAGUAAAUCAAGCCCCGGAAAGUUUUUGAUUUGGGACCUCUGUGCGCGUGAGAAAAACUGACAGCGAUUCAUAGAAGCGGUAGGUCAAGUGACACGGCGUCCCCAAGUGACCAGUGAAUGAAAGUGUCGCUGGAGCGUCAAGGACGACUCUUCAAGAUUGCUAGAGGUCGACCACCGACCGGCUUCCGUGUAUACCGUCCGAACCCCACUUUAUUGCCUUGCCUGUAAGCAUCCAUACGGAUGGGCAGGCCCCCCGAACAACUGUUAACAAUGGAUAUCUUGGUUCUC